GCCCCUGUGGUGGAAUUGGUAGACGCGCUCGACUCAAAAUCGAGUACCGAAAGGUGUGCCCGUUCGAGUCGGGCCAGGGGCACCA
rnacentral:tRNA from 1 species